AGGAUCAUUAUCAAAACAGCGGACUUCGGUCCUUGCUGCACCCUUGUCUUUUGCGUACCGUAUGUUUCCUCGGCGGGCUUGCCUGCCGGUUGGACAAUAUCAAACCUUUUUGUAGUUGCAAUCAGCGUCAGAAAACAAAUAAUAAUUACAACUUUCAACAACGGAUCUCUUGGUUCUGGCAUCGAUGAAGAACGCAGCGAAAUGCGAAAAGUAGUGUGAAUUGCAGAAUUCAGUGAAUCAUCGAAUCUUUGAACGCACAUUGCGCCCCUUGGUAUUCCAUGGGGCAUGCCUGUUCGAGCGUCAUUUUGUACCCUCAAGCACUGCUUGGUGUUGGGCGUUUGUCCUGCAAAGGACUCGCCUGAAAGCGAUUGGCGGCCAACGUACUGGUGGUAGAGCGCAGCACAAUUUGCGUCUCUCCCUUCUACGUCGGCGUCCAUGAAGCCUUAUUCAAACGUUUGACCUCGGAUCAGGUAGGGAUACCCGCUGAACUUAAGCAUAUCAAUAAGCGGAGGAAAAGAAACCAACAGGGAUUGCCCUAGUAACGGCGAGUGAAGCGGCAUCAGCUCAAAUUUGAAAUCUGGCUCUUUC
rnacentral:rRNA from 1 species